GAGAAAACAACCUUCUCUCUGAUAAACAACCCCAACACACGGACACCCCCCCCUGUCAGUAAACUGUGAACAGGAGGUGAACAGAAAGCUGAGAGUAAAGAGUCUCCUCGUGCUAAACAUGAUGUUAACUGCCUUCAUAUGUUGCAUCUUUCAUCUGGCAUGGAUAACAGGUGCCUCUAACAGCGUCUUCCAAACGCCUCCGUUCAUCAUGAAGAGAAGUGGAGAGUCUGUGGACCGGGAGAUCAACUGUUCACACAGCAUACCAAACUAUGAUCGCAUUCUCUGGUACAAACAAGACCAACAUCAAAAUAUGAAGUUACUGGGAUAUCUGAAUGUGAUCUACUCGACUCCAGAGGAGGACGUGAAAGGAAAAAUCAGCUUUGACGGAGAUGGCCGUAAACAGUCUCGCCUCAGUGUCUCUAAUCUGUCAUUAGAGGACAGCGGUGUGUAUUUCUGUGCAGCCAGUCAGCACAGUGCUGCAGAUUCCCCUCAGCUCAAUACAAGAACUCUCCUCCGUCUGUCAGAGACAACAAGCUGAGGCUCAGCACCUGCA